UCCAUGCCUGCUCCUGGAAUACCUGCUCCUAAAACCCAAAGUGUGUUCCCUAAAAAUUCUUAGUAAUGUUUUAAACCCAGCUCAAAUAUAUCUCUGUAAAGCCUUCUCUGCCAUGAUCCCCCUUUCUCUCUCUGUACUAAUCACCUCCACAUUUGUUUUUCCAUAGCCUCCUGAUGGCUGUCCUUGUCAACUGUGAACCCAUCAAAGGACAUCUAAAAUUCAACAUGGGACAGUGUAACAGAUUAAUUCAACACCCUCUCCACAAUCCCCUCAAAGAUGAAUGCAUAUUUUCUUCCUGUAGCAGCCCUCCAUCCUGAUUUAUUUCCAAGCUGGAGUGUGACCGGUAGUUGGACCAGGAGUUUCACAGCAUUGGCUUCCUUGGUUCUCAGACCUUCUGACUUGCACUGAGCCACACUACUGGCUUCCCUGGUUCUCCAGCUUGCAGACACCCUACCUGGGACUUCUCAGCCUCCACAGUGCAGUGAACCAAAUCCCCUACUGAAAACCCUUCAUUGGCUUCCUAAGUCCUCCAGGAGAGAGUCACAAAUCCUUCACCCAGCAGCCAGAGCCUUCCACUCUCCAAUCCUGUCCAGUCGCUACCCUUUCCUCUCAGCGCUGCUUCGCUCUCACUUGACCACCCAGCAAGAGCACAGGAUUUCCUGUGUCCUCCAGCCAUGUAAUUACUUCUCCACUUUCAUUGCCUGGUGAGGGCUGGUUAUGCUUUAAAAAUAUGUGCUACCUGGCUGGGGGCAGUGGCUCACCCCUGUAAUCCCAGCACUUUGGGAGGCCGAGGUGGGUGGAUCACGAGUUCAGGAGUUCAAGACCCGUCUGGCCACGAUGGUGAAACCCUGUCUCUACGAAAAAUACAAAAAAUAGGCAGGGUGGUGGGCGCC